rnacentral:sRNA from 2 species
GACUGUCUAUCGACUCGAGUAAUAACGAUGAGUAUAUGUUUAUGUUUACAUCGCUAAGAACAAUUUAAUUACAAUGUCAUCGGAUAUGACGAUCAGCAUUUGUCAUGAACCCGGACAAUUCUCAGGAGUUCAGGCCUAUUGUUAGAUUAUCGGGCCGAAACCUGCACCCGACCUGCUAAGUUGCUGGUGCCCCGGUCUCAUCUCAGCCCGAGAUAUCGAAAAUACCCUGCAUGCAGUGUCAUCGUUUCAUCGUGUGUCCGUGGCCUUCCAAUACUUGGUAGAUCGAUCUCCUGUGCUCUCAUGGCGUUUGCCCAAACGGUUACUGUGCACAUUCUUAUGGGGAGGAUUGCGAUGUUGAGCAUCUUUCAAGCAACAGACGGUGAAGAUUUUAACUUGAUCUGAAGCAACAAAAAUAUUCCGGAUUCGUCAUUCUCUCUACUCGAAUGUCAUCUCGAAAUUCUCAAUAUGCUGAUUUGGCGCCAUGGCAAAAUUCGAAAAGAUAAACCAGUUCUCGGUAGCAGCUUUUGCCUCGCUGAUCAGACUGAUUAUUACCCUGGAGCUAUAUGCACUGUCCUGUACGGCGUACAUGCUUCCAUCUGAAAUCUGCCCUGCGCAGAUUCCUAUUGGUUGAUCAACAGCUCCCAUCCCUGAUAAAUAUCGCCCAGC